UUAUAUACAAUAAAUAAUAUAAUAAAAUUAAUAUAAAUGUCAAAUUUUAAAAAGUAACAAAUAAUGUUUAUACACUAAAAUCAGAUAUUUUUCUUAUCUUAGAAUAAUUAUAUCUUAAAAUAAAAAAUUAAAAUAAGGAAACUUUUGUAAAUUAAAAUCUUUAUAAAUUAAUAAAAUUUCAAAAUCUCAACAUUAUUAAUUUAUAGAGGUUCUACUAUAUGUAAGUUUUAAUUUGCGUGCAAAUUGUCUUUCUAAACUGAUGUGAAAUAAUUUAGAUCCGGCUCUUAAAACACUACACUAAUGUGACCAAUCCAGAAAUAUAAACAUGAUCCUGGUAGUUAUGUCCGAAGAACUGUAUAUACUAUAUCCUCCAAAUUCUCUAACUCUUUGCAGGCAGUGCACAGAUCAAUAUACAGUAAAAGGGUAAUAGUUUUUAUUCCUGCAUAUAACACAAGUAAUACAUAAGAAUAAAGUUUUUGAAUAUAUGAUAUUAAUAAACAUAUAUCUAUGAACAAUGGCAGUUUGGUAUAAAAAGGUGUAAACUAUUAAGUAUACCAAAAUCUAAACCGUAAAAUAUAAUCUGAGCAACUAUAUAUGUAUUAUAAGAAAAUCACGUUUCUUUAAAUACUGUAAAAGCGUUUUCUCAAUUGAAUUUGAUUUUACAUAACAUAUAAAUAAAAAGGCUUCGUCAGAAAUACUAGCUAGGGUUUGAUUUGCAAAGCACUAGCAUAAGCAGUAUGCUCUAUAUUAUCCAAUCAAUAAUUUUUUUAAAAAAUAUUUAAAAUAACAAAUGCUCUUGACCAAAUGUUUUCAUAUGAAACUUUUGGUAGAUCAUUUGCAUUUAGAAUAUAUAAAGUCUUUAUUUUGUAUAUCCAAAACUAUAUAACAUUUUAAAAAAUAUAAAAAUUUUAAAAAAUUUCUAUCUUUAAAAAUUUCUUUUAAUUUUAAAAAAAAAAUUUAAAAAAUUUAAAAUUUCUUUACAAAAACUAAAUUAAAAAAAUUAAUUUCUUAAGUAACAAUUGAUUUUUUGAAAAAGGAAAAUUUAUUUUCCAAUAAAAUAUAUCAUAUUUAAAAUACAAUUAAAUUAAAUUAAAUAUAACUUUUUAUUGUCAAUAAAAAUAUAUAAAUUAAUAUACAUAUAUAUUAUAAAUAUAAUAUAUCUAUAUUAUUCAUAAAUAAGCAAAUUAUAUAUCACAUACUAAUUUUAUAUGAUACUUUUAUAUAUAAAUCAUUAACUGCUCGCCAAUCAUGUUAUUAAUUGCAUUUAUGAAAACAUACUACUUCUGUAGAAAUUGCUUCUACAGCAAAUUGUUAUCGUUUUGCUAUCAGCCUUACCAAUCGAGGCGUAGAAAACAUAGAAAAUCUCUUAAGCUAAAACAAAACAUAAUUACUACAAACAAAGCCACAGUAUGACCGGGUCGGAAAUGGAAAACAAUGAGCAUAUUUGUAAGUUUACUGUGGAGAUUUUGACAGAAAAAAAAAGAUAUUGCAGUUUUGACGAAAAAUGAUUUUCACCAUUUCAAAGUUUUUAUUUGUAAUUCUUGUGGGUUUUAUCCAAGCAUAGUAGAUCUAUAACAUAAACUAUAAAAAGAAAUAGUUUAUUUUGAUUUUUUGCAAGUUUUUUCAACUCGUUGCUAUUAUGCAAAAAAAAAAAAAAAAAAAAAUCCUUCAAUAUAACAAGUUGUCGACGAAAAAAAAAUUAACAAUAAGUUGUCCAAAAAUCCCGAAAAGUCUUCAAACGGCACUUCCUUUGAAAAGAAUGAAUUAGUAUCUAUCUAUAAUAAUAAUAUAGAGUUUUCUCUCACCUCCUGCAGCCACAUCAGCAUUCUCAUAUGGGCAAUUUGUGACACCUGUCCACUUUCAAUUAAAUUGUUUUCGUUUACCAGAUUUCGUGGGCUUCAUAACAGAUCACAAUUGGUAGGGCUUAAGUAUAACUCCGUACACAACCUGUUUAUAGGCUUCGUUUGUUUCUGUUCAAAUAAAGCCCAUCAAAUGAUGCCCUUUCUUCUCCCUGGAGCUUCAAUCGACGUGAUUGUCAAACCUGAAACCUAACGAUCCCAUUCCACUUCCCCGAUGAAACAACUCUCAGUAGUUAUGGCAUUCAAUCAACAAAACCCAUUAAUCCCACUAUCAUCUCUUCAUUGUAUAUUUAAUCCAUUGUUCUUAAACUUUUUCCAGUGUAUAUAUAUAUAUAUACUUUCUCAGUGGCCUCUCCAAUUCCUUUAGAAUGUAUUUAGAUAUUCUGUGAUUUAUUGUUCGAAAUUAAGUCCAGUGUCUAAACUUCUGUGCACCUUUAGGUAUCGUAUUUAGAAAUGCGAUUAGCCAGUAGCUUCCGUAUGAAAUGAUUGUAUCUAGAAGAUUUUUUUUAAAAAAAAUUUCUUCUUAUUUGGUGUGUUGAGGUUCUGUUUUAUGAGAUGCAGAUUAGUUGUAGCGAGUUUGGGAGAUGCCUGUGACGAAAAGAUGGGAAUAGUUUAGGAACAGUUUCGGUUGCUGGAAAGGACUAUGGUGAAAGAUUUCUUCUAUUGUGGUGAGGUUACGAAGGGAAUCUGUUCAGACGAAGAAUCAUGUCCCUACAAAAGGGGCGUAUUGCCCUGCUGUAGAGAAGGCUUUGGAGAUUAUUAAGUAGAAGAGAGUUCAUCUCUUGGCAGCAACUGAACUGUUACUAGAAAUUUGCAGAAGGCACUGGUGAGUUUGCGUGGAUGACCAAGGCAAACAAAGAGUUGUAGCAGCAAUGAUACAUCAUCGGACCUUGGAGAUCCUGAGAAGAAGAAGCUUUACGAAGCGAAAUUGUGGGUGAAGCCAUGGUUGAACUUCAAAGAGCUGCAGAAUUUAAGCUUGGUGGUGAUGAUGGCCCUACCAUUACUCCCUCAGAGAGCUUGGAUGAAAAAGGUAUGACUACAGGAUACAGACGUUACAUAUAUAUAUGCAACAUAAAGAUCGAUCUUAAGAAAGUCUGAUCAUGAAAAUUUGGUUUUAUAUGGAUCAGAUGACAAUGCAUCUGGAAGGAGGAAAGUUUUACAAGAUUGUCUAGAAGACACCUCUCAGUUCAAGGCAAUAUAUUUUGGCUUCUCAGAUUACAAUGACCGUCUACUAUCAACUCUCCAAUUAUAGCCAGAAAUUAAUAAGAAUGUUCUAUACAUGCAACGAUGAUCCGACGGUUCCAACAAUGCGAAAAGCCUGAACACCUUUCGAGCCCUGCUUAAGGAAGAUUCUAUUUACUCAAUAAAUGCGGUUGACGUAGCACGGAGCACCACCACCUUCAAGCAUUGUGAUUCAUCGCUUUCCAUACUCUUCAGUGACCUUGCGGUAUGUAUCAUACGAGGCUGGGUCUUAAAACCGUAUCUUUUUCCUUCAGUAUGGUAAUAUAAUGUGUCUUAAAAUGUGAGGCCGGGUCUUUCUGAUUAUCAGGUAUGGUCUCUUUUGUACCGGAAACAACACCUUUAACAAAUGCUAUGGAAGUCAUUUCCAUUUCUCUGGGAUGGCGUUUGUUACAUAGAUUAAAAGACGUUGUAGGUAUUAUAACUGUCCAAGAUCUGUAUCUUGUAUUAUAAUUGUUUUGGCUUCUAAGUUCACUAAACAACUUACUUUUUGCUGACUUUGUAGGUAUGAACGCUUUGUCAACGCCCUUGAUGAAUCAUCUAAGGCUUUAAAGGUACAUUCUAUUUUCCACUCUACACCCCUAGCCUCUUACAGGCACUGUGGUUUUUAAGAGUUUUCAUAUUGACAUUUGAGUGGUAGCAAUUUAAUACUGUUAUCUGAACGAUGCAUGAUUUCAUGGUCGAUGUCUCAGUUUUCUGAUAUAUACGAUUUGUUUUUUUUUUGUUAACAAGAUCUGGAUCUUAACAAAUGUUGUUGAUUUUUUUAAUUCGGUGUUAGCCUAUCUGUUUCAUGUUGACAAGCAAAUCAGAACAGGAGCACAAAUUGCUUGUGUCAUUGGUGAAAAGGUAUUUUCAAUUGUACUAUGGAAUAUAUAUAUAUAUAGUAAAAUUUGAUUAACUAAUACUUGUGUCAUCAGUGAAUUACUUUACACAGUUAGGAGAUCCUCAAAACAAUACUGCAUCUAAUGCUGAUUUUCACCUGAAAAAUCUUUUGGCUGAUCAUCCUAAUAUGAAGGUGUGACUGUUUAGGUGAAAGCUGUGAGAGAUGUGAGGGAGGUGAUGAAUCAGUUGGCAUGGAAACAGGUCCCAGCUUUACCAGGGAAGGUUGCUCCACCAAAAUCUAAUACUUCUUCUAAUGUUAUCUUUCCUCCAUUA